AACUUUUGGCAACGGAUCUCUUGGCUCUCGCAUCGAUGAAGAACGCAACGAAAUGCGAUACGUAAUGUGAAUUGCAGAAUUCAGUGAAUCAUCGAAUCUUUGAACGCAUAUUGCGCUCUUUGGUAUUCCGAAGAGCAUGCUUGUUUGAGUAUCAGUAAACACCUCAACCUCCUCUUGUUUUUUCAAAAGGAGGGUGGACUUGAGCUAUCCCAACAACCUUCACCGGUAGGCGGGCGGCUUGAAAUGCAGGUGCAGCUGGACUCUUAUCUGAGCUAAAAGCAUAUCUAUUUAGUCCUCGUCAAACAGGAUUAUUACUAUUGCUGCAGCUAACAUAAAGGAUAAUUGUCCUCAUUGCUGACUGAUGCAGGAUUUUACGACACUUUAUGUGUUGUUCAACUCGAUCUCAAAUCAAGUAAGACUACCCGCUGAACUUAAGCAUAUCAAUAAGCGGAGGCU
rnacentral:misc_RNA from 1 species